rnacentral:sRNA from 1 species
UGUAGAUGAAUUGGAAUACCGACAGUGAGCAGGGCAGGCAGACUCAACUAAGCCCGGACCUGUGGUGGCACACUGGGCAGGACCCUGCUUCAUCUCGGGUGGAAGCUGGAACGCAGUCCCAAGUGUCAAUGGCAGAACACAGAUACCUGAAUCCAGUUCCACCUUUCCUGUGUAUCCUCUUCCACUUAUCUUACUUCCCCUUCAUGUUGAACCAACGUUAAUAGGUGCAAGGCACGAGAUGAGUUCACAAGCAAUCAGUGCUGGAAGGAUGUGCAAAAUAAAAGUUAAGAGAAGCUGAGGAUAUAGAAGGCAUCCUGAAAGUAAAACAGCUGAGGACCACAAAGCAUAUCAUGGAAAAUCUGUUAAGCAGGGGAGGUCAGGUAGGAGAGGAAAGAAUAGUCCCUCCCAAAGGAAGCAGUUAAAUAAGUCUGUGGGAGGUCAGUGGUAAAAGGAAGUGGGAAUGAAGUGAACAGAGAGUGCAGCUAGGCCUUCCCUUAGGAGAUAAGCUACUGAGUGUCUUUUAAGCCAGACUAUAUUAACAGGGAAGGGAAGUGGGAGGUCCAUUGGCCUUUCUUUGUGAACUAUGAGCAUAAACACAAACC